UUAGCAGUUGAGCCUCUGCCCUAGACCUCCCCCUCUGCCCUCUGAGUCCAAUCAAACACACAGACUCUUGCCCUGUCUCACUCCAGCGGCGCCGCCGUGCCGCUCUCUCUCUCUCUGCACAGGAAGCCCGCAGCGGCACAAAGAAUCAGCGGCGAGGACUCUUCUCUGACGGGGUAGUUUCCCAUUGCAUCCUCGAUCAAAAGCUGCGGUUGGCAUGGCUGUGUGAGGUGCUCGUCGAUCUCCUCGCACCGGCGUCCCUGGCACUCUCUCCCUCACAGUUGCAAGGUCUCUCUCCCUCUCGAAGGCGCUCUGUCUCUCCCUCUCUCAGCUCUGCGGCGGACGGCGGUGACGUGAUCCUCUUCUCUGCCGGCGACUACCUCCUCUGCCCUGCAUUUCAGAGGUUUGCGGUAAGGACAUCAAAGCAAAUUGAAAAUAUUUCGAAACAAGCUGUUCAGAAAAGGCAGGAGUUAACGGGGCAGAUCAAGGACAUCUCGAAAAAUAUGGAAGAUUCAUUCAAGAGCCGCUGAUUUUGUUAUUCUUCCUAAAUUGCUGAAGAAAAUAAAGUUGGUGAUUGUCUUUGCCAAGGAUUUUUGAUGGAGACUAAGCUAGGGUGUAUGUAGAUUUCUUUUGUCAUUGACUUUUGCCCUUUUUUUUCCUGAAGCCUUAUGUAAUUGCCUGCUUCUAGUUUACUUUUUUUUUUUUUUUUUUUUUUUUUUUCUGAAGCCUUAUGUAAUUGCCUGCUUCUAGUUUACGUGGUGAACCAGAACGUUUAUGAUAUUAUAUUAGGCAGAUAUAUAAUAUGUCCCAUUUUAAAUUUUAAAUCACUUCACUAUAAAUAAACUAAGUCCAAUUAUUUAAA